rnacentral:rRNA from 1 species
AAAUUGAAGAGUUUGAUCAUGGCUCAGAUUGAACGCUGGCGGCAGGCCUAACACAUGCAAGUCGAACGGUAACAGAAAGCAGCUUGCUGCUUUGCUGACGAGUGGCGGACGGGUGAGUAAUGUCUGGGAAACUGCCUGAUGGAGGGGGAUAACUACUGGAAACGGUAGCUAAUACCGCAUAACGUCGCAAGACCAAAGAGGGGGACCUUCGGGCCUCUUGCCAUCGGAUGUGCCCAGAUGGGAUUAGCUAGUAGGUGGGGUAAA